UACGUAGGGUGCAAGCGUUAAUCGGAAUACUGGGCGUAAAGCGUGCGCAGGCGGUUGUGCAAGACAGAUGUGAAAUCCCCGGGCUCAACCUGGGAAUUGCAUUUGUGACUGCACGGCUAGAGUGUGUCAGAGGGGGGGUAGAAUUCCACGUGUAGCAGUGAAUGCGUAGAGAUGUGGAGGAAUACCGAUGGCGAAGGCAGCCCCCUGGGAUAACACUGACGCCGUGCAUAGCCACGAAAGCGUGGGGAGCAA
rnacentral:rRNA from 1 species